CAAGUACUCCCUCCGUUCGAAAAUACUUGUCAUCAAAAUGGAUAAAAAAGAUGUAUCUAGAACUAAUAUACAUCUAGAUACAUCCCCUUUUAUUCAUUUUGAUGACAAAUAUUUCCGGACGGAGGGAGUACUAC
rnacentral:pre_miRNA from 1 species